rnacentral:misc_RNA from 1 species
AUGACACUCACCUAACACUGCCCGAUGACCUUUCACCCUCCUGCCGAUGUUCGGUGAGACGAGACUGAGUCUGUCACUUCUUGAACCUAACAGGGGGCUGGGACUCCUUCUUGGUGGUGGUUGAUCAGCGAAAAGCCCAUAACUGCUUCCCGCGUUGACAGCAUUGCUGGCACUGACAGUUCCCACCCCUCCGGCAACGCUCCAUUCUGCCACACUGUCGAUCGAACUGCUUCUUGGAAGGCAGGAGCUCGUUGCGCUGCACACUCGCCUUUUCUCCUUUCGCUGUUGCUUCUUCUUCUUGAAGGCUUUCUUCACCCGCAAAAGCAGAAAGGCGGCGCGAUCGAUGGUCAGGCCCGGUGAAGCCUUGUCGCCGCUCGACAUCCUGCGUCCUAGUCCUCCCAACACC